rnacentral:rRNA from 1 species
UGGGGAAUAUUGGGCAAUGGGCGCAAGCCUGACCCAGCAACGCCGCGUGAAGGAAGAAGGCCCUCGGGUUGUAAACUUCUUUUGUCAGGGACGAAGCAAGUGACGGUACCUGACGAAUAAGCCACGGCUAACUACGUGCCAGCAGCCGCGGUAAUACGUAGGUGGCAAGCGUUAUCCGGAUUUACUGGGUGUAAAGGGCGUGUAGGCGGGACUGCAAGUCAGAUGAUGAAAACCAUGGGCAUCCAACCCAGUGGCCUGCAUUUGAAACUGUAGUUCUUGAGUGAUGGAGAGGCAGGCGGAAUUCCGUGUGUAGCGGUGAAAUGCGUAGAUAUACGGAGGAACACCAGUGGCGAAGGCGGCCUGCUGGACAUUAACUGACGCUGAGGCGCGAAAGCGUGGGGAGCAAACAGGAUUAGAUACCC